GACGAACGCUGGCGGCGUGCUUAACACAUGCAAGUCGAACGGUAAGGCCCCUUCGGGGGUACACGAGUGGCGAACGGGUGAGUAACACGUGAGCAACCUGCCCUUGACUCUGGAAUAACAGUUGGAAACAGCUGCUAAUACUGGAUAUUCAUCGUCUCCUUCCUGGGGGGUGGUGGAAAGCUCCGGCGGUCAGGGAUGGGCUCGCGGCCUAUCAGCUUGUUGGUGAGGUAAUGGCUCACCAAGGCUUCGACGGGUAGCCGGCCUGAGAGGGCGACCGGCCACACUGGGACUAAGAUACGGCCCAGACUCCUACGGGAGGCAGCAGUGGGGAAUAUUGCACAAUGGGCGCAAGCCUGAUGCAGCAACGCCGCGUGCGGGAUGACGGCCUUCGGGUUGUAAACCGCUUUCAGUAGGGACGAAGGGUGACUGACGGUACCUACAGAAGAAGGACCGGCUAACUACGUG
rnacentral:rRNA from 1 species